rnacentral:rRNA from 1 species
AUUGAACGCUGGCGGCAUGCUUUACACAUGCAAGUCGAACGGCAGCGCGGGCUUCGGCCUGGCGGCGAGUGGCGAACGGGUGAGUAAUACAUCGGAACGUGCCCAGUAGUGGGGGAUAGCUCGGCGAAAGCCGGAUUAAUACCGCAUACGACCUGAGGGUGAAAGCGGGGGAUCUUCGGACCUCGCGCUAUUGGAGCGGCCGAUGGCAGAUUAGCUAGUUGGUGGGGUAAAGGCCUACCAAGGCGACGAUCUGUAGCUGGUCUGAGAGGACGACCAGCCACACUGGGACUGAGACACGGCCCAGACUCCUACGGGAGGCAGCAGUGGGGAAUUUUGGACAAUGGACGAAGGCCUGAUCCAGCAAUGCCGCGUGUGUGAUGAAGGCCUUCGGGUUGUAAAGCACUUUUGGCGGGAACGAAAAGGACUGUGCCAAUACCACGGUUCGAUGACGGUACCCGCAGAAUAAGCACCGGCUAACUACGUG